AUGAACGCUGGCGGCGUGCCUAAUACAUGCAAGUCGAGCGAACAGAUGAGGAGCUUGCUCCUCUGACGUUAGCGGCGGACGGGUGAGUAACACGUGGAUAACCUACCUAUAAGACUGGGAUAACUUCGGGAAACCGGAGCUAAUACCGGAUAAUAUAUUGAACCGCAUGGUUCAAUAGUGAAAGACGGUUUUGCUGUCACUUAUAGAUGGAUCCGCGCCGCAUUAGCUAGUUGGUAAGGUAACGGCUUACCAAGGCAGCGAUGCGUAGCCGACCUGAGAGGGUGAUCGGCCACACUGGAACUGAGACACGGUCCAGACUCCUACGGGAGGCAGCAGUAGGGAAUCUUCCGCAAUGGGCGAAAGCCUGGCGGAGCAACGCCGCGUGAGUGAUGAAGGUCUUCGGAUCGUAAAACUCUGUUAUUAGGGAAGAACAAAUGUGUAAGUAACUAUGCACGUCUUGACGGUACCUAAUCAGAAAGCCACGGCUAACUACGUG
rnacentral:rRNA from 1 species